rnacentral:rRNA from 1 species
CUACGGGAUGCUCCAGUGGGGAAUAUUGCGCAAUGGGCGAAAGCCUGACGCAGCAACGCCGCGUGAGGGAUGAAGGCCUUCGGGUUGUAAACCUCUUUCAGCAGGGAAGAAGCGAAAGUGACGGUACCUGCAGAAGAAGCACCGGCUAACUACGUGCCAGCAGCCGCGGUAAUACGUAGGGUGCAAGCGUUGUCCGGAUUUAUUGGGCGUAAAGAGCUCGUAGGCGGUUAGUCACGUCGGAUGUGAAAAUCCAAGGCUUAACCUUGGACCUGCAUUCGAUACGGGCUGACUAGAGUGUUGUAGGGGAGACUGGAACUCCUGGUGUAGCGGUGAAAUGCGCAGAUAUCAGGAAGAACACCGAUGGCGAAGGCAGGUCUCUGGGCAACUACUGACGCUGAGGAGCGAAAGCGUGGGGAGCAAACAGGAUUAGAUACCCGUGUAGUC